GAUGAACGCUGGCGGCGUGCCUAAUACAUGCAAGUCGAGCGAACAGACGAGGAGCUUGCUCCUCUGACGUUAGCGGCGGACGGGUGAGUAACACGUGGAUAACCUACCUAUAAGACUGGGAUAACUUCGGGAAACCGGAGCUAAUACCGUAUAACAUGUUGAACCGCAUGGUUCAACAGUGAAAGACGGUCUUGCUGUCACUUAUAGAUGGAUCCGCGCCGCAUUAGCUAGUUGGUAAGGUAACGGCUUACCAAGGCAACGAUGCGAAGCCGACCUGAGAGGGUGAUCGGCCACACUGGAACUGAGACACGGUCCAGACUCCUACGGGAGGCAGCAGUAGGGAAUCUUCCGCAAUGGGCGAAAGCCUGACGGAGCAACGCCGCGUGAGUGAAGAAGGUCUUCGGAUCGUAAAACUCUGUUAUUAGGGAAGAACAAAUGUGUAAGUAACUAUGCACGUCUUGACGGUACCUAAUCAGAAAGCCACGGCUAACUACGUG
rnacentral:rRNA from 1 species